rnacentral:lncRNA from 1 species
GGGUGGAUAGGAUAUGGCGGCCCAUUUUUAGGUGUUUGGUUGGUAGGUGGAAGUGGGAUAGGGCGGUCCGAAGGGGAAUAUUUCUCCUAAUGCCGGACGGGAGGAUCUGGCCAAUUUGCCCGGAUUUGGACGUUCGGGCGAGUCGAGCGAGCGGUCGAGAAGAGGGCGAGCGACGACGACAACAUCGUGAUGUGGUCGGGCGAGCGAUGACGGCGUGCCGCGACCGGGCGAGCGACGACGGUGUGCCGCGACCG